AAGAGCUUUGAAACCAUAGCAUCGGGGUUGGAUAAAAAUCGUCACCCUUGUUUCCCAAGCAUCACAAGGUUCAAUCCAUGAAGAUCUCUAAAGUUCAUGCCUCCUAACUCCUUACGAACAAUCAACUUUUCCCAUUUCAUUCACUUCGCUUCUUUCCCAUUUGUUCCCCCACCAAUAUGAGUUCAUCAUGCGCUGUAACUCCUCCGUAGUUGACUUUGGAAGGAAAUAAGCACUUAUAAUAUAAGUCAG
rnacentral:lncRNA from 1 species